AGUCAGUAGCGCUGUUGUUUGGACCUGGGCUGUCUCCUGAAAAUCCUUGUAUGAAAUGUUUAGUCCCUGGCUUGGCAAUCUGAAGAGCUGGAAACAUGAGAGGAGGGGCCUGAUGGAAACCCCUUUAGUCACUGGAGGUGUGACCUUAAAGGUUACGAGGGGACUUGAGGCACGUUAUCUCUUUUCCACUUCUAAGCCACAGCCAAGUAGCUUUGCCCCACCGCAUGCUCUUGCCCUGAUGUGCUGCCUUGCCAAAAGGCAAUCGAGCCAAGCAACCAGCGAUGGGAAGCUGGCACAGCAUCUUCAGCAUCGUGUGACUGCUAUGAACAAACAGGAUUCAGUUACACUGCAGGAAACAGGACUUUCCACAGCAAUGGGACAGAAAAGAGAGUUCCAGCUGAAGCGUUCACAUCAUUUCCUUCCACCAAAUAGAGAUAUAAGCCUGGUGAAAUGAGAGGAAGACUUUUCAUCUCAAUUUCAUGAACAAGGACAUUCUACACAGUGUGAUCUGGAGAACUCAAGUUCCAUGCACAGUGUCUGAGCAAUGAAGAAUGAACUCAGUCAGUCCUGGUGUAAACAACAAGGCAGAAUCUGGAAUCAAACCACUACCAUUUAAGCAUCUACUCCUCUUCCAAAGGACAAGCCUGCCUGGACAAAGAGUGAUUUGUGGUGUUGCUCUGGGUCCCUGUCCAUUCAGGAAACAACUGAUGCCAACGUUUUCUUUAAAAAAGGUGUACCUUUAAUAAAGCUUAUAGGAGAAUCAUAGAGUUCAAAGUAGGCACAAAAAUUACCAGAGUUACAAGCAAGAUGUUACAGCAAUCAAUACUGUUACUAGGAAAACAAACAGACGCCAUGAUGCUGGUUGCUAUGGUCAUCCUUAUUCGCUUGUUAAUUAUAAUCACUGUAAUAUUUUUCCAUUGGUUCAUUUAAUUCAGCUUGGCAAACAUCUAGACUUUAUCUUUGAUUUUUGGUGAUGAUUUGCUCAUUCGAUGUUGUUUUUCUUUCUUUUUCAACCAAUGAUGUUGGGCAAGUUUCAGUUUCCUCCAUGAGUUUCACCUGUGCCUGGAAUGCUGCAGUUUCUCACAUCGAACAGUACAUGGGAAUCUGAUCUACUUCCUUUAGGAUAAUGUCCUCUGCCUGUUGGAGGCUUCCAGCGAUUCGGGACAAGUAAUGUUAAUUUUGUGGUAAGACUAUGUCAUCUGUAAAUCCUUUUCUAAUCUGAUGACUCUCCUUGAAAUAUUUAUAGUCAUCAUGUGAAGGUCUCAAAAAUUCUUCCAAGUUGGUGGUGGUUUGGAGUAAUGGACUGAAAACUCCCCUGUAUUUUCUAGAAACAUUGCAUUGUGUCUCUCAGAUGUCAUUUCUUGCAGAGUCUCCCUAAUUUGGGAAAAAGAAAACAAUUUUUGAAUUUUAGUUGAGAACAGCAUGAAGAUGAUCCUCCUAGAGAAAGUACAGUAUAUUUAAAAACAAUAGAAAAGGGAUUUUCCUCUUCUCUCCCAAAGAAUGUAGCUUCUUAUUCUUUCUCAGCAAAGUCUCUGACAUCUGAACUCUAGCAACUACCACGAAGUUUAAUGUAGUCUUUUUCCAUUAUCAUUGGUACAAUUGUGAACCGUGGAUAAGUGUGCCUUAGACCAGAGGAAAUAAGAUUUUGAAAUUUGCAGAAGCAGAACCUUUAGAAAGCUGUGUAGUCUAAACAAGAGAGAAGUCGGCAGUCAGAAUACAAGGAUAUCAGCAUGAGAUAAGACCGAAGCUCAGUGGCCAAGAAAAGACUGAGCAGUCCAGUGCCAUAGGCUGGAAGGUCAAAGAAAAUAGAAGGUCAAAACUUGUUAAAUGUGUAGAAUUCCACUCAUGGGUCAAUGGGCCAAGGAUUGCAGCUCUGACUUUUCCAAAUACCCUUUCUACAGUUACCGCUGGGAAAGGAAUCGCUUUCAUGGUAUAUCCAGCCCAAGACAUGAAACUGAAGGCUGAUAAUAAAAGACAUUAUAAUUCAACAUUAAAUGGUUCUAUUGGAUAAAAUUUUUCUCACGAUCUCUAUUACCUAAUCCGACCUCUUUCUGUUAUUUGUUCACUUUUAAGUGUCUAGCAUAGACUAUUUCAUGCUUUCCAACUUCUCAGGCCAUCUGAAAGCUUUGGGUAUAAGACAUCUCUAAUCUCAAAGUACAUCAACCAUAUUAACAUUGCAAGUUUUGAGAAAUGGCUACUUCCUGUC